CUUACCUGCAGUCGACGGCAGCGCGGGCUUCGGCCUGGCGGCGAGUGGCGAACGGGUGAGUAAUAUAUCGGAACGUACCCCAGAGUGGGGGAUAACGUAGCGAAAGUUACGCUCAUACCCCAUACGAUCUCAGGAUGAAAGCAGGGGACCGCAAGGCCUUGUGCUCCUGGAGCGGCCGAUAUCUGAUUAGCUAGUUGGUGAGGUAAAGGCUCACCAAGGCAACGAUCAGUAGCUGGUCUGAGAGGACCACCAGCCACGCUGGAACUGACACACGGUCCAGACUCCUCCGGGAGGCAGCAGUGGGGAAUUUUGGACAAUGGGGGCAACCCUGAUCCAUCAAUGCCACCUGAGUGAAGAAGGCCUUCAGGUUGUAAAGCUCUUUUGUCCGGGAAGAAAAGGUCGUGGCUAAUAUCCACGACUGCUGACGGUACCUGAAGAAUAAGCACCGGCUAACUACGUGCCACCAGCCGCCGUAAUACGUAGGGUGCAAGCGUUAAUCGGAAUUACUGGGCGUAAACCGUGCGCACGCGGUUUCGUAAGUCUGUCUCUGAAAUCCCCGGGCUUAACCUGGCCAAUGGCGAUCGAUACUGCCAGGCUAGAGUUUGGCCGAGGGGGGUAGAAUUCCACCUCUAGCAGUGAAAUGCUUCGAGAUGUGGAGGAACACCGAUGGCGAAGGCGGCCCCCUGGGUCAAAACUGACGCUCAUGCACGAAAGCCUGGGGAGCCAACAGGGAUUAGAUACCCUGGUAGUCCACGCCCUAAACGAUGUCUACUAAGUUGUUGGGGUCUUUAAUUCACUUAAUUAACGCCCCCUAAACGCCUUGAAAGUACACCGCCUGGGGAAGUAACGG
rnacentral:rRNA from 1 species